rnacentral:rRNA from 1 species
UACGAAGGGUGCAAACGUUGCUCGGAAUUAUUGGGCGUAAAGCGCACGUAGGCGGCAUUGCAAGUCGGAUGUGAAAUCCCUCGGCUUAACCAAGGAAGUGCAUCCGAAACUGCAGUGCUUGAGUACUUAAGAGGAGCGUGGAAUUCCCAGUGUAGAGGUGAAAUUCGUAGAUAUUCGCAAGAACACCAGUGGCGAAGGCGGCUCACUGGCCCGAUACUGACGCUGAGGCACGAAAGCGUGGGGAGCAAACAGG